AGCCCUCUGAAUCCGUGCAAAUGCUUCGUCGGACACCAACCCAUAGAGACUGAUGAGACUCCCAAGAUAAGUGAAGCA
rfam:Schistosoma haematobium scaffold892_3, whole genome shotgun sequence.